UACGUAGGGGGCUAGCGUUGUCCGGAUUUAUUGGGCGUAAAGAGCUCGUAGGUGGUUCGGUAAGUCGGAUGUGAAAUCUCCAGGCUCAACCUGGAGGGGUCAUUCGAUACUGCCGUGACUAGAGUUCGGUAGAGGAGCGUGGAAUUCCUGGUGUAGCGGUGAAAUGCGCAGAUAUCAGGAGGAACACCAGCGGCGAAGGCGGCGCUCUGGGCUGGAACUGACGCUGAGGAGCGAAAGCGUGGGGAGCAAACAGG
rnacentral:rRNA from 1 species